UCUGCCCCUAGAAGCGUUGCAGAUACAGCUGCUGUGUCACAUGUGCGUCACGAUGGAGCAGAGAGGAGCGAGGCUACGUCUGCUCUCAGUGUUCUGACCUAGGAAUAUCUGAAUGAUUAGUGAGUGGCCAAACAUU